AUUCCGGUUGAUCCUGCCGGAGGCCAUUGCUAUUGGGAUCCGAUUUAGCCAUGCUAGUCGCACGAGUUCAUACUCGUGGCGAAUAGCUCAGUAACACGUGGCCAAACUACCCUUCGGAACACCAUAUCCUCGGGAAACUGAGGCUAAUAGUGUAAACCACAUUACCGCUGGAAUGAGUAGUGUGCCAAACGCUCCGGCGCCGAAGGAUGUGGCUGCGGCCGAUUAGGUAGACGGUGGGGUAACGGCCCACCGUGCCAAUAAUCGGUACGGGUCAUGAGAGUGAGAACCCGGAGACGGAAUCUGAGACAAGAUUCCGGGCCCUACGGGGCGCAGCAGGCGCGAAACCUUUACACUGCACGACAGUGCGAUAGGGGGAUUCCGAGUGCGAGGGCAUACAGUCCUCGCUUUUCUGUACCGUAAGGUGGUACAGGAAUAAGGGCUGGGCAAGACCGGUGCCAGCCGCCGCGGUAAUACCGGCAGCCCGAGUGAUGGCCGAUCUUAUUGGGCCUAAAGCGUCCGUAGCU
rnacentral:rRNA from 1 species